rnacentral:rRNA from 1 species
UACGUAGGGUGCGAGCGUUGUCCGGAAUUACUGGGCGUAAAGGGCUCGUAGGCGGCCAACUAAGUCGGACGUGAAAUCCCCAGGCUCAACCUGGGAACUGCGUCCGAUACUGGAUGGCUUGAAUCCGGGAGAGGGAUGCAGAAUUCCAGGUGUAGCGGUGAAAUGCGUAGAUAUCUGGAGGAAUACCGGCGGCGAAGGCGGCAUCCUGGACCGGCAUUGACGCUGAGGAGCGAAAGCCAGGGGAGCAAACGGG